UACGUAGGGACCAAGCGUUGUUCGGAUUUACUGGGCGUAAAGGGCGCGUAGGCGGCAAUUCAAGUCAGCUGUGAAAUCUCCGAGCUUAACUCGGAACGGUCAGCUGAUACUGUUUUGCUAGAGUGCAGAAAGGGCAACCGGAAUUCUUGGUGUAGCGGUGAAAUGCGUAGAUAUCAAGAGGAACACCUGAGGCGAAGGCGGGUUGCUAGGCUGACACUGACGCUGAGGCGCGAAAGCUAGGGUAGCAAACGGG
rnacentral:rRNA from 1 species